UACCAGGAGUCAGUGUGUGCAAAGUUUUUUGUAAGGAUACACCCUGAAGAGGGAACAAAAUGUACCUCCAAGGUUGGGACAAGCAGAAAGACUGGGACCACUGUGAAGCAAAAGGUUGUUCACAUUAACCCUCAUGUCACAACUUUCCCCAAGCGGCUUACUGAAUUUGAGUGGAGAACUUCAAAUUAGAUGAUCCAUGGCCCAUGCUUUCUGGACAUUUACACAAGACGAACAACAAUGAAGACAAGACAAAUUACGACCUGUUAAACAGUAAAUGACCGCCUGUUGGGACACGGUGUCCUCUAGCAGCCAGAGAUGAAUAUUUUUGGUACUGAUGAUGCGUGAUAACGAUUGCUGGUGGCCAGGUUGAUGGCUGAUGGAACCCCACUGGUGAUUUAUGCUGCAAGAGUCAUCCAGCAAUCCUACUGCAGAGCGAGA